GGCCACAAAUCUGUUUAAUGCUGCAGCCCCCUUAAACAACAUACUCUUCGCUUGGGUUAGCCCUUUAGCUACCAGUCCAUACCUUCAGUUUUCCAGCAGUAGAAGGCUGCCAGUUGCCACGUUGCCACAUCGCCUGCCAGUUGCCUUGUUCCGCGUGCCCAACAAAUGAAGAAAAACCGGCCACCAUAAAUCGUCGUCGUCGUCGACGUCGUUGCCGUCUCCGAGUCCGAGUUGUCGACGUCGCUGUGCUGCACUGCAUCAAACAUACGAAUGCGGCUGCAACAGCAACAGCAAAUGUGAAUGUGAAUGGCAAAUGUUCUUAAUUGGAUGACUGUCGGGCGCCGCACAUAGUUACCUGAUGAAUGACUGACUCGACUCCACUCCACUCGGCAUUGCUUUCUGACUGACUCUCGGGCAUCCAGGCUGACGGCGCAGAGCGACUGGCAAAAAAAAACAUGGCCAGUAGUUACAUUUGCAAGUGAAAGGCAACAAGUUUUUUGUCUCCCAUUUUCUUUGUUUUCGUGGGGGGAGGCAACCAAAUAGCCAUGGGGGUGGUGGUCUUA